rnacentral:rRNA from 1 species
UACGUAGGGUGCAAGCGUUUGUCCGGAAUUAUUGGGCGUAAAGAGCGUGUAGGCGGCCCCGUUAGUCCGCUGUGAAAGUCCAGGGCUCAACCUUUGAAUGUCAGUGGAUACUGCCGGGCUAGAGUCCGGAAGAGGCGAGUGGAACUCCUGGUGUAGCGGUGGAAUGCGCAGAUAUCAGGAAGAACACCAACGGCGAAGGCAGCUCGCUGGGACGGUACUGACGCUGAGACGCGAAAAGCGUGGGGGAGCGAACAGG